UACAGAGGGUGCGAGCGUUGUCCGGAAUCACUGGGCGUAAAGGGCGCGUAGGUGGCGGGAUAAGCGUGUGGUGAAAGCCCGGGGCUCAACCCCGUGUCUGCCAUGCGGACUGUCUUGCUCGAGCGUAGUAGAGGCAGGUGGAAUUCCGGGUGUAGCGGUGGAAUGCGUAGAGAUCCGGAAGAACACCGGUGGCGAAGGCGGCCUGCUGGGCUACUGCUGACACUGAGGCGCGACAGCGUGGGGAG
rnacentral:rRNA from 1 species